AGAGUUUGAUCAUGGCUCAGAACGUACGCUGGCGGCACGCCUAACACAUGCAAGUCGAACGAAGUAGCAAUACUUAGUGGCAGACGGGUGAGUAACAUGUAGGUAUCUGCCCUUUGGCCUGGAAUAACACGAGGAAACUUGUGCUAAUACCGGAUAAGUCUUUACGGAGAAAGCUUUAUGCACCAUUGGAUGAGCCUGCACUUGAUUAGUUUGUUGGUAGGGUAAUGGCCUACCAAGACUGUGAUCAAUAGCUGAUUUGAGAGGAUGAUCAGCCACAUUGGGACUGAGACACGGCCCAAACUCCUACGGGAGGCAGCAGUGGGGAAUCUUGCACAAUGGAGGAAACUCUGAUGCAGCGAUGCCGCGUGAGUGAAGAAGGCCUUUGGGUUGUAAAGCUCUUUCGUCGGGGAAGAAAAUGACUGUACCCGAAUAAGAAGGUCCGGCUAACUUCGUGCCAGCAGCCGCGGUAAUACGAAGGGACCUAGCGUAGUUCGGAAUUACUGGGCUUAAAGAGUUCGUAGGUGGUUGAAAAAGUUGGUGGUGAAAUCCCAGAGCUUAACUCUGGAACUGCCAUCAAAACUUUUCAGCUAGAGUAUGAUAGAGGAAAGCAGAAUUUCUAGUGUAGAGGUGAAAUUCGUAGAUAUUAGAAAGAAUACCAAUUGCGAAGGCAGCUUUCUGGAUCAUUACUGACACUGAGGAACGAAAGCAUGGGUAGCGAAGAGGAUUAGAUACCCUCGUAGUCCAUGCCGUAAACGAUGUGUGUUAGACGUUGGAAAUUUAUUUUCAGUGUCGCAGCGAAAGCGAUAAACACACCGCCUGGGGAGUACGACCGCAAGGUUAAAACUCAAAUGAAUUGACGGGGACCCGCACAAGUAGUGGAGCAUGUGGUUUAAUUCGAAGAUACGCGCAGAACCUUACCAACACUUGACAUGUUCGUCGCGACUCUGAGAGAUUAGAGUUUUCGGUUCGGCCGGACGAAACACAGGUGCUGCAUGGCUGUCGUCAGCUCGUGUCGUGAGAUGUUGGGUUAAGUCCCGCAACGAGCGCAACCCUCACUUUUAGUUGCCAUCAUUAAGUUGGGCACUCUGAAAGAACUGCCAGUGAUAAGCUGGAGGAAGGUGGGGAUGACGUCAAGUCCUCAUGGCCCUUACGUGUUGGGCUACACACGUGCUACAAUGGUAUCUACAACAGGAAGCAAGACUGCGAAGUUAAGCAAAUCCUUAAAAGAUACCUCAGUUCGGAUUGCACUCUGCAACUCGAGUGCAUGAAGCUGGAAUUACUAGUAAUCGUGGAUCAGCGUGCCACGGUGAAUGCGUUCCCGGGUCUUGUAGA
rnacentral:rRNA from 1 species